UACGGAGGGGGCUAGCGUUGUUCGGAAUUACUGGGCGUAAAGCGCACGUAGGCGGCUUUGCAAGUUAGAGGUGAAAGCCCAGGGCUUAACCCUGGAAUUGCCUUUAAAACUGCAUCGCUAGAAUUGUGGAGAGGUGAGUGGAAUUCCGAGUGUAGAGGUGAAAUUCGUAGAUAUUCGGAAGAACACCAGUGGCGAAGGCGACUCACUGGACACAUAUUGACGCUGAGGUGCGAAAGCGUGGGAGCAAACAGG
rnacentral:rRNA from 1 species